UACGUAGGGUGCGAGCGUUGUCCGGAAUUAUUGGGCGUAAAGGGCUCGUAGGCGGUUUGUCGCGUCGGGAGUGAAAUCCACUGGCUUAACUGGUGGCUUGCUUUCGAUACGGGCAGACUGGAGGUAUGCAGGGGAGAACGGAAUUCCUGGUGUAGCGGUGAAAUGCGCAGAUAUCAGGAGGAACACCAGUGGCGAAGGCGACUACCUGGCCUGUUUCUUGACGCUGAGGCGCGAAAGCUAGGGGAGCAAACGGG
rnacentral:rRNA from 1 species